rnacentral:rRNA from 1 species
CAUGCAAGUCGAGCGGGCCCUUCGGGGUCAGCGGCGGACGGGUGAGUAACGCGUGGGAACGUGCCUUCUGGUCUGGAAUAACCCUGGGAAACUAGGGCUAAUACCGGAUACGCCCUUUUGGGGAAAGGUUUACUGCCGGAAGAUCGGCCCGCGUCUGAUUAGCUAGUUGGUGGGGUAACGGCCUACCAAGGCGACGAUCAGUAGCUGGUCUGAGAGGAUGAUCAGCCACACUGGGACUGAGACACGGCCCAGACUCCUACGGGAGGCAGCAGUGGGGAAUAUUGGACAAUGGGCGCAAGCCUGAUCCAGCCAUGCCGCGUGAGUGAUGAAGGCCUUAGGGUUGUAAAGCUCUUUUAUCCGGGACGAUAAUGACGGUACCGGAGGAAUAAGCCCCGGCUAACUUCGUGCCAGCAGCCGCGGUAAUACGAAGGGGGCUAGCGUUGCUCGGAAUCACUGGGCGUAAAGGGCGCGUAGGCGGCGUUUUAAGUCGGGGGUGAAAGCCUGUGGCUCAACCACAGAAUGGCCUUCGAUACUGGGACGCUUGAGUAUGGUAGAGGUUGGUGGAACUGCGAGUGUAGAGGUGAAAUUCGUAGAUAUUCGCAAGAACACCGGUGGCGAAGGCGGCCAACUGGACCAUUA